CAGCUGGCUGCAUCGACCUAUCCUUUACUGCCCCCAAGGCCAUGCAUACCUAAUUCAAGGAUAUCAGAUAAUGCAGACCUUAUUUCCUCCAGGGUUUCCCACUGAAAACUGGGCAGCCAACAUAUCAAAUCUGUGGAGUUUCACUCCAAAGGAAUGCUUUCUCUUUCUACUCUACCUCCUGAGGCAACCUAAAGAAUGCAUAUGAAAAUAAAAGUGUUAAGAAAACUCUUACCAAAGAAUGGGAUUCUAUUUCCCUAUACCUUUAUGUGAGGGAUUUGUAAGUUGAUG
rnacentral:lncRNA from 1 species